AAGGGGCUAUAUAAAGAUACUGGAGACUUGUAAUGUUAGUACAUUUCCCUGCAGCAGCAUCUAUGCUUUAUAACAUGUAAGAAAGCAGUCAGCCUACUUCUCAACGAUUAUUGACUUCGAGGAUUUUAAUAGGCUGCAUAAAGGUUCUGCAGAGGUGGGGUUGGGUCUUUCCAAUUAUUGAACUACACAGAUAUCAUGAGCAGUGUGAACUCUGCUGCUUGCCUGCUGGCAAGGAAUCAUUUUUACCAGAAUGUCAGUUCUACCAACAAAUUACAGCCUGUGUAUGGCUUCCCUGGAGAACUGUCACAAGCCAGGCAAAGGCAUGUGAUUGUCUGGAAAGCUGCUUCCAUACACCAAGGUUUGUCAGGACAGGUGCCCAGACGAUGGGUAUUAAGUGUGGUUUGGAAAAGUUCAACAUCCUGCCGACCUUAACCAAACCACAAGGAUCUGCGAACCGUGCGAUCAAAUAGACAUCUGAACUUGUUUAAAGACUUCAUGUAACAUUCCUGGAGCCACAGCAUAUCCUUUCUUAUUUGGAACCCCCUAACCCAUUGGGAUUGAAGACCUUAUCUAGCUGAUCUACACCGAAAAUAUUUUCCUAGCAGUUCAUUGGUCCAAGAAAAUACCAGAACGAAAGGACCUGCAGUUGUUUUGUGGCAUAAUGCAUUCCCGUAAAAAUUGCCUCUCAUUUUUCCCCAAAGAGCAAGAUCAAAUCUCUUGUGUUCUCCUGAAACCUCACUGUAGGGAGUGUGUCCUCAUUCCUCAGCAUCCAAUCAGAGAAUGACCCAGUCUCCAUUGCACAGACCUGUUGCCAAGCACAGGGGAAGAGAGGGAAAAAACAACAAAAAAAACAGUGUCAGCACACUACACAAAUCCCUUUCCAUGAACACAGCCAUCAGUGUGCAGUGACACAUGAGAGGAAAUACAAGACAAUGUAUGAAAACUAUAUUCAAGAUUAUGUAAAAUGGACAAAUAGUGAGGACAAGCUCCAUUUUUUCAAGCACCUUCGGUCAUGCAAGUUAAGAAAAAUGAACAAAUCUGUCCUUUUUCCCCCAUCUGCCUUGAUUAGAUUAGUCUUGGUCAGCACUUUUAGACUUCCCCACUCACAAAAACACAUCUAGACUUGUUUACUUUUCCAAACUCUUCAUGUUUGUCCUAAGCAGACAAUGUGAUUUUUCCACACCAGAAUGUACACAAAAAAAAAAAAAAAUCAUUUAAAAAAAAAAAAACAAAACAAAAAAAAAACCUUGUUUCUUAGAAACUGAAUCAACACAAUGAUUUGCAUUUAUCUGGAAUUUUGCCAACAAGCCAAAAAUAGACUUUUCACUGAGGGAAUAAAGGAACAGUGAAAAUGAA